rnacentral:rRNA from 1 species
AACGAACGUUGGCGGCGUGCCUAACACAUGCAAGUCGAGCGCGGGCAGGACUUCGGUCCUGUUCCGAGCGGCGCACGGGUGAGUAACACGUGAGUAACCUGCCUCGAAGUUUGGGAUAACCGCCCGAAAGGGUGGCUAAUACCGGAUAAGCCCCCACUGGCACAGGCCAGAGAGGGAAAAGCCUUGGCGCUUCGAGAUGGGCUCGCGUCCCAUUAGCUAGUUGGUGAGGUAACGGCUCACCAAGGCGAAGAUGGGUAGCUGGUCUGAGAGGAUGAUCAGCCACACUGGAACUGAGACACGGUCCAGACUCCUACGGGAGGCAGCAGUGGGGAA